rnacentral:rRNA from 1 species
AACGAACGCUGGCGGCAUGCCUAACACAUGCAAGUCGAACGAUCCCUUCGGGGGUAGUGGCGCACGGGUGUGUAACGCGUGGGAACCUGCACUUAGGUUCGGCAUACCUAAGAGAAUUUUGAGCUAAUACCGGACAAUGUCUUCGGCCCAAAGAUUUAUUGCGUUUGGAUGGGCCCGCGUUGGAUUAGCUUGUUGGGGUGGUAAUGGACUACCACGGCGACGAUUCAUAGCUUGUUUGAGAGAAUGAUCAGCCACACUGAGACUGAGACACGGCCGAGACUCCUACGGGAGGCGGCAGUGGGGAAUAGUGGACAAUGGGCGAAAGCCUGAUCCAGCAAUGCCGCGUGAGUGAUGAAGGCCUUAGGGUUGUAAAGCUCUUUUACCCGGGAUGAUAAUGACAGUACCGAGAGAAUAAGCCCCGGCUAACUCCGUG